CUUGCACCUUUCAAGUGAGUGGCGAACGGGUGAGUAACACGUGGACAACCUGCCUCAAGGCUGGGGAUAACAUUUGGAAACAGAUGCUAAUACCGAAUAAAACUUAGUGUCGCAUGACACAAAGUUAAAAGGCGCUUCGGCGUCACCUAGAGAUGGAUCCGCGGUGCAUUAGUUAGUUGGUGGGGUAAAGGCCUACCAAGACAAUGAUGCAUAGCCGAGUUGAGAGACUGAUCGGCCACAUUGGGACUGAGACACGGCCCAAACUCCUACGGGAGGCUGCAGUAGGGAAUCUUCCACAAUGGGCGAAAGCCUGAUGGAGCAACGCCGCGUGUGUGAUGAAGGCUUUCGGGUCGUAAAGCACUGUUGUAUGGGAAGAACAGCUAGAAUAGGAAAUGAUUUUAGUUUGACGGUACCAUACCAGAAAGGGACGGCUAAAUACGUGCCAGCAGCCGCGGUAAUACGUAUGUCCCGAGCGUUAUCCGGAUUUAUUGGGCGUAAAGCGAGCGCAGACGGUUUAUUAAGUCUGAUGUGAAAGCCCGGAGCUCAACUCCGGAAUGGCAUUGGAAACUGGUUAACUUGAGUGCAGUAGAGGUAAGUGGAACUCCAUGUGUAGCGGUGGAAUGCGUAGAUAUAUGGAAGAACACCAGUGGCGAAGGCGGCUUACUGGACUGCAACUGACGUUGAGGCUCGAAAGUGUGGGUAGCAAACAGGAUUAGAUACCCUGGUAGUCCACACCGUAAACGAUGAACACUAGGUGUUAGGAGGUUUCCGCCUCUUAGUGCCGAAGCUAACGCAUUAAGUGUUCCGCCUGGGGAGUACGACCGCAAGGUUGAAACUCAAAGGAAUUGACGGGGACCCGCACAAGCGGUGGAGCAUGUGGUUUAAUUCGAAGCAACGCGAAGAACCUUACCAGGUCUUGACAUCCUUUGAAGCUUUUAGAGAUAGAAGUGUUCUCUUCGGAGACAAAG
rnacentral:rRNA from 1 species